GUUUAUCAAAAACAUGGCUCUUUGUAAACAAAAAAUAAAGAGUCGGGCCUGCCCAGUGAAUUUUCAACGGCCGCGGUACUCUGACCGUGCAAAGGUAGCAUAAUCAUUUGCCUUAUAAUUGAAGGCUAGUAUGAAUGGUUUGACGAGAGCAAUACUGUCUCCUUAUUAUUUUCAAGAACUUAACUUUUAGGUGAAGAGGCCUAAAUUUUAUUGAAGGACAAGAAGACCCUGUCGAGCUUAAAAGAUUAUAUAGGAGUCUAUAUAUCUUUAGAUAAAUUUCUAUUGAGCUUUUUAGUUGGGGCGACUGAGGAACAAAAAAAGCUUCUUUUUAAAAAAUAAACAAUCAUGUUUAGAUCCGGUAGUAGCGAUUAAGGAAAUUAGUUACCGCAGGGAUAACAGCAUAAUCUCUCUUGAGAGACCUAAUCGAAAGAGGGGGUUGUGACCUCGAUGUUGGACUAGAA
rnacentral:rRNA from 1 species